UGGCUCAGUUGGUAGAGCAUGGUGUUUGCAACCCCAGAGUUGUGGGUUCAAUUCCCAC
rnacentral:tRNA from 1 species